rnacentral:misc_RNA from 1 species
UCUCCGUUGGUGAACCAGCGGAGGGAUCAUUACCGAGUUUACAACUCCCAAGCCCCAUGUGAACCUUACCAAACGUUGCUUCGGCGGGAUGCCCCGGGCGCGGGCCGCAAGGCCUCAGCCCCGGAACCAGGCGCCCGCCGGAGGCCCAAACCAAACUCUUGUUUUUGUAGAAUCUUCUGAGUGGCCUUUUAGGCAAAAAAUGAAUCAAAACUUUCAACAACGGAUCUCUUGGUUCUG